rnacentral:rRNA from 1 species
CCUACGGGAGGCAGCAGUGGGGAAUUUUCCGCAAUGGGCGAAAGCCUGACGGAGCAAUACCGCGUGAGGGAAGAAAGCCUACUGGGUUGUAAACCUCUUUUUUCAGGGAGGAAAAAAAUGACGUGUACCUGAAGAAUAAGCAUCGGCUAACUCCGUGCCAGCAGCCGCGGUAAGACGGAGGAUGCAAGUGUUAUCCGGAAUUACUGGGCGUAAAGCGUCUGUAGGUGGUUUAAUAAGUCAACUGUUAAAUCUUGAGGCUUAACUUCAAAACAGCAGUCGAAACUAUUAGACUAGAGUAUAGUAGGGGUAAAGGGAAUUUCCAGUGGAGCGGUGAAAUGCGUAGAUAUUGGAAAGAACACCGAUGGCGAAAGCACUUUACUGGGCUAUUACUAACACUCAGAGACGAAAGCUAGGGUAGCAAAUGGGAUUAGAUACCCCAGUAGUCCUAGCUGUAAACAAUGGAUACUAGAUGUUGAACAGAUCGACCUGUGCAGUAUUAAAGCUAACGCGUUAAGUAUCCCGCCUGGGAAGUAUGCUCGCAAGAGUGAAACCUUAAAGAGUAAUGA